GCUUAACCGGAGAAGUGCAUCGGAAACCGGGAGACUUGAGUGCAGAAGAGGACAGUGGAACUCCAUGUGUAGCGGUGAAAUGCGUAGAUAUAUGGAAGAACACCAGUGGCGAAGGCGGCUGUCUGGUCUGCAACUGACGCUGAGGCUCGAAAGCAUGGGUAGCGAACAGGAUUAGAUACCCUGGUAGUCCAUGCCGUAAACGAUGAGUGCUAAGUGUUGGAGGGUUUCCGCCCUUCAGUGCUGCAGCUAACGCAUUAAGCACUCCGCCUGGGGAGUACGACCGCAAGGUUGAAACUCAAAGGAAUUGACGGGGGCCCGCACAAGCGGUGGAGCAUGUGGUUUAAUUCGAUGCUACGCGAAGAACCUUACCAGGUCUUGACAUCUUCUGCCAACCUAAGAGAUUAGGCGUUCCCUUCGGGGACAGAAUGACAGGUGGUGCAUGGUUGUCGUCAGCUCGUGUCGUGAGAUGUUGGGUUAAGUCCCGCAACGAGCGCAACCCUUAUUGUUAGUUGCCAGCAUUUAGUUGGGCACUCUAGCAAGACUGCCGGUGACAAACCGGAGGAAGGUGGGGAUGACGUCAAAUCAUCAUGCCCCUUAUGACCUGCGCUACACACGUGCUACAAUGGACGGUACAACG
rnacentral:rRNA from 1 species